AGCGAACGCUGGCGGCAUGCUUAACACAUGCAAGUCGAGCGGGCAUCCUAGUGGUUUCAGCGGCAGACGGGUGAGUAACGCGUGGGAACGUGCCCUUCGGUUCGGCAUAACUCAGGGAAACUUGAGCUAAUACCGGAUACGUGCGCGAGCAGAAAGGUUUAUCUGCCGAAGGAUCGGCCCGCGUCUGAUUAGCUAGUUGGUGAGGUUAUGGCUCACCAAGGAGACGAUCAGUAGCUGGUCUGAGAGGAUGAUCAGCCACACUGGGACUGAGACCCGGCCCAGACUCGGACGGGAGGGAGAGGAGGGGAAUAUUGGACGAGGGGGGCAACCCUGACCAAGCCAUGCGGGGUAAGAGAUGCCGGGCUUAGGGUUGCAAAGCCCUUUUCGACGGGACGAUAAUGACGGUACCGGAGGAAUAAGCCCCGGCUAACUUCGUG
rnacentral:rRNA from 1 species